rnacentral:misc_RNA from 1 species
UCUCCGUUGGUGAACCAGCGGAGGGAUCAUUACUGAGUCUUAAAAAACUCCCAACCCAUGUGAAUUUACCUUUGUUGCCUCGGCAGGAGUUAUAGGUUUUCUUAUAGCUGCUGCCGGUGGACCAUUAAACUCUUGUUAUUUUAUGUAAUCUGAGCGUCUUAUUUUAAUAAGUCAAAACUUUCAACAACGGAUCUCUUGGUUCUGGCAUCGAUGAAGAACGCAGC